rnacentral:lncRNA from 1 species
AGAUAUUCGUAAUGUCUUUGAUUAAGACGUGAUUAAUUUUUAAUAAAUACAUAAGGAUCUUUUGAUUGGAUUCUCGUUUUCCAUUAAAAUACCAGCUUUCUCUCAUAUCCCAAGUUCUCUCUUCUUCGCACCAAGCUUUCUCCAUCUUUUUUGUUUUCUCCAUCUUUCGCCAGAAAUGAUGUUAUGCUUGUUCGAGAUCAACUUCUUCUUGUUGGAUAUCACGUUCUGGUUGUUGGGUGCUAUUGCAUUUGUUCAGUAUUGAGAAUCCUUCAAUUCUCUUAACUGUCUAGUUAAGACAGUUCUUCACUGUUUGUUGAACAGUGGUUGGUUGUUAGGUUUUCGGUUUUUCAUUCUUCCCUUGGAACUCUAUAUAUACAAAGUUCCUCCCCCUUUUCCCUUUAUCAGAAACAAUAUUACAUUGUAUUUUUGUAUGUUCAUUCAAAUAAUAAAAGGAGAAGUUUUUCAUACUCACCUUGUCACGAUCUUCAUUUUUCUCUUCUACGUCGACGGCAACCGCCGCCGUGCCGGAGCUCUGCCGGCCACCGUCUUCCUUCUCUCUCCUCAUCCAGACGGAGCGUCUAGAAGUCUCUCUCUCUCUCUAACUCUGCCCUCACUCUCAGUAAAUGCCAUGCAGACACAACGUAUCUGCCUUUCAUUCAAGAUAACAGGCCAACAUGCAUUGGGCCUCUGAGCUACAGUAUUGGUCCAAAUUAAUAUGGUAUCAGAGCAGGUCUAGUACCUGCUCUGCUUCUGUUGCCAUCGCUGCUGUUUCUUGGACCUUCUUGGGCUGGGUUCUUGAAAUCUUUCUUUUGCCACCAUGGAACAUUCUGACCAGACCUUCAAUCCAGCAAGCCCAUUCUAUCUACACCCGAGAGAAAACCCAGGUUUGACCUUGAUUACUCAAGUUCUUAACGAAAAUAAUUACUCCUCAUGGAGCAGAGCCAUGAGAAGGGCUUUAGUUUCGAAAAACAAAGUUAAAUUCAUUGACGGGUCAAUUAAAAGACCUCAGAAAAGUGAUGAUACAUACGACGCGUGGGAGAGAUGUAACGUGAUGAUUCUGUCAUGGAUGACGAAGACCCUAUCUCCUCAUAUUGCUGAAAGUGUCAUCUACGUCGAAGAAGCGAAAGAGUUAUGGGAUGAGCUUAAGGAGAGGUUUUCAAAAGGAGAUUACUUCAAAAUCUCAAAUUUAUUGCAAGACAUACACUCAAUUAAACAAGGAGAACGUGGAGUCAGCCAGUUCUUCACUGACCUGAAGAUUUUAUGGGAAGAAUUGGAGUCUUUAAGACCAAUACCAGUCUGCACUUGUGAAAUUCCAUGCAGCUGUGACUUGUCCAAGGUUUCGUUGAAAUAUAGAGAAAUGGAACAUGUGAUUUACUUUUUGAAGGGUUUGAAUGAUUCUUACAAUACUGUUAAAACGCAAAUUCUUUUAAUGGAUCCCUUACCGAAUGUUAACCGUGUUUUCUCUUUGAUUAUCCAACAAGAAAGACAGGAAAAACAGAGUAAUACAGAAACCAGAAUUUUGGUUAACAUGGCUGAAAGAAACAAUCAGUGGAAACCUGACCAGAGUUGGAGGAAUCAGGGACGUGCUAAUGGAAUUCGUGGACAAGGCAGAGGAAGGGGAAGAAACCCAAAUUAUGGAAAGCAAUGCUCUUAUUGUAAUAAGAUGAAUCACACUGUUGAUGAGUGUUAUUCUAAGCACGAAUAUCCUCCAUGGUAUAAGAAGGAAGAUAAAAAGAGUGACUGGAACACUGUCAAUGCUUAUCAAAACAACAAUCAAAACAACAAUGACUCUGAAAGCACCCUGAAGACUCAACAUCAGACUAACAACAGCUGUAAUCCCAAUCUCUUCACGCCAGAACAAAUGUAAAAGCUUUUAAAGAUGAUAGAAAAGACUGAAGAAUCAUCCAUUCACAAGAUUAACCAAGUUCAGAGGCAAGAAACAAAAAACAAACCAGGUAAUUCUUCCUGGGUUAUUGACACGGGUGCAACAGACCAUGUCACACAUGAUAAAACUGACUUUACUAUUUUCUACAAAAUUAAACCUAUUACAAUUACUCUGCCAAAUAAAACUAUCAUCACUGCUGAAUAUGCUGGAACUAUACAUUUUACUGAAAAUUUUAUCCUUUUCAAUGUUCUCUACAUACCUAAUUUCUGUUUUAAUCUGAUUUCUGUUCAGAGUCUCAUCAAAGACUUAAAUUGCAAUCUAAUAUUUUCCUAUGAGAACUGCCAGAUAAGGGAGAAUCAUUCAUUGAAGACGAUUGGAUAUGCUAAACCUUGGAAUGGUCUCUAUUAUCUACAAGAUUUCCCUAAACCAGAACAAAGAGAUAUUGACAAGGCUGUUUUCUCUUUUAAAAAGACUGAUGUUAAUCUGUGGCAUCUUAGACUAGGUCAUCCUGGACAUCAUGUUGUAAAACGCAUAUAUGAAAUGUUUCCUUAUGUUAAGAUCAAAACUGAUAUUGUAUUUGAUACUUGCCAUUUUGCCAAACAACACAAGUUACCUUUUAAGAAAAGCUUAUCUGUUACUACUGAAUGUUUUGAGGUUAUCCAUUGUGAUAUUUGGGGGCCAUUAAAUAUUGUUUCUAUUCAUGGGCAUAGAUACUUUCUUAGUAUAGUUGAUGAUUACAACAGACACACAUGGGUUUUCCUAAUGAAUAAUAAAGGACAAACCAAAGAUCUAUUACAAAAUUUUAUUAUCAAAGUCAAGAAUCAGUUUAAUAGAAUGAUCAAAAUCAUUAGAUCCGACAAUGGGCCAGAGUUAAAUUGUGUCAAUUUCUAUAAUAUGCAUGGAAUCAUACAUCAAAAAAGUUGUGUUGAGACUCCAGAACAAAAUUCUGUAGUCGAAAGAAAACACCAACAUAUACUCAAUGUUACACGCAACCUUCUUUUUCACUCUAAUAUACCUAAAGUUUACUGGUCUUAUGCUAUUGGACACGCUGUAUAUCUGAUAAAUAGGUUGCCUUCUCCUAGUCUUGAAAAUAAGACUCCUUAUGAUAUGCUUUAUAAUCUACCUCCUACCUACUUAGAUCUCAAAGUUUUUGGGUGCUUAUGUUUUGCUUCUACACUUGAAAACAGUAGAACCAAGUUAGAUCCUAGGGCUAGAAAAGGAGUUUUUCUAGGGUACAAAAGUGGUGUAAAAGGGUAUAUUGUUUUAGAUAUAAACACUAAGGAACUAUUACCUUAUAAGAAUUUUCAGGGCAAUCAGCAAAGUACAGAAAAUGAGAAGGAUGCACAUGAGUUUUUCACUGACCUUUCAAAAGACUAUUAUCCCAUUUAUGAAGACCAACAUGACGAGCUUAAGGAUAUUAACCAAGAGGAAGAACUGGACAAUUUUACUGCCACAAAUGACAAUCAAGAAAACUACAGAUACAGAAGACCAGAAAGGACUAGAAAGACUCCUGCUUAUUUGGAAGACUAUGUCCACCAGGUGAACCAUUCCUUAACUAUGAAAAAUAAUUUCAAAACUCCUUAUCCGAUUUCUAAACUACUAUGCUGUGACAAUUUAUCAGGGAAACAUUUAUAAUACAUCAUGACUAUUACAGGGAAUAAAGAACCCCAGACUUACAAUGAAGCUAAAGACAAAAGGGAAUGGAUAGAGGCAAUGCAGAGGGAAAUUAAGGCCUUGCAAGACAAUAAUACUUGGUUCCUGACACAACUACCACCAGGAAAAACUCCUAUAGGAUGCAAGUGGGUAUAUAAAACUAAGUAUAGAGCUGAUGGAAGCAUUGAAAGACACAAGGCACAGUUAGUUGCAAAAAGGUAUACUCAGCAGGAAGGAAUAGACUAUCUUGACACUUUUUCACCAGUUGCGAAAUUAACCACUGUUAGACUCUUAAUUGCUCUUGCUGCAUCAAAUAAUUGGUUUUUACACCAAUUAGAUGUUGACAAUGCUUUUCUUCAUGGUGACCUUCAUGAAGAAGUCUAUAUGCAUCCACCUCCAGGACUGGGUAUUCAUACAAAGGGACAGGUUUGCAAAUUAAAUAAAUCCCUAUAUGGCUUGAAACAAGCAAGCAGACAAUGGUUUGAAAAAUUAUCCUCUUACCUAAUUUCUGUCAACUACAAACAAUCUAAAUCUGAUCACUCAUUAUUCACUAAGAGAACUGGUACUUAUUUCACUGCCUUGCUUGUAUAUGUGGAUGAUAUUGUGUUGGCAGGAAAUUCCUUGGAAGAAAUCAAUUGCAUCAAAGAACUCCUACUUAAUAGAUUUCGUAUAAAGAAUCUUGGAGAGCUCAAGUACUUCCUCGGACUUGAAGUUGCUAGAUCUAAGAAGGGUAUUCACUUGUGUCAAAGAAAGUAUGCGUUGGACAUACUUGAGGAAACAGGAAUGGAGGGAUGCAAACCUUCUACUACACCCUUUCUUAGAGACACAAGCCCAUUAUACAAAUUGGAUAGUCAACUUGAUGAUCCUGGACCCUACAGAAGGCUGAUAGGGAAGUUACUUUACCUUACAAAUACUAGACCAGAUCUAUGUUAUACCAUCAAUUUACUUAGUCAAUUUAUGCAAUUUCCUACAGAACAUCAUUUUCGGGCUGCUUAGCAUGUUCUUAGAUAUAUCAAAUCUACUACAAGUGAAGGAUUGUUUUUCGCUGCUGAUUCACCUAUGCAUCUAAAAGGCUUUAGUGACUCUGAUUGGGCUACCUGCCCUAACACCAGAAGAUCUACUACGGGUUUUUAUAUCUUUCUCGGGACAUCUCUUAUUUCCUGGAAAUCUAAGAAACAAAAGACUGUUUCCAGAUCGUCUACGGAGGCUGAGUACAGAGCCAUUGCUGCCACUGUAUGUGAAAUACAAUGGCUCCACUACUUACUUGCAGAUCUUCAUAUUGAAGAAUCUGGAGUUCCUGCCCUAUAUUGCGAUAACAAGUCUGCUCGUCACAUUGCCCAUAACCAGAGCUUCCACGAACGGACCAAGCAUAUUGAGCUUGACUGUCAUGUUGUUCGUGAAAAGAUCCAGGAAGGCCUUCUUCAUCUCCUCCCUGUCCGAUCCGAUGAGCAACUGGUUGAUGUCUUCACCAAGUUUCCGCAUCACGUCAGCCUCAAACACAUCAUACCCAAGCUUGGACUGGUCAAUAUAUACAGUCCAGCUUGAGGGGAGGGUAUUGAGAAUCCUUCAAUUCUCUUAACUGUCUAGUUAAGACAGUUCUUCACUGUUUGUUGAACAAUGGUUGGUUGUUAGGUUUUCGGUUUUUCAUUCUUCCCCUGGAACUCUAUAUAUACAGAGUUCCUCCCCCUUNUCCCUUUAUCAGAAACAAUAUUACAUUGUAUUUUUGUAUGUUCAUUCAAAUAAUAAAAGGAGAAGUUUUUCAUACUCACCUUGUCACGAUCUUCAUUUCUCUCUUCUACGUCAACGACAACCGCCGUCGUGCCGGAACUCUGCCGGCCACCGUCUUCCUUCUCUCUCUUCAUCCAAACGGAGCGUCUGGAAGUCUCUC